UAGCUAGUUGGUGAGGUAAAGGCUUACCAAGGCGACGAUCUGUAGCGGGUCUGAGAGGAUGAUCCGCCACACUGGAACUGAGACACGGUCCAGACUCCUACGGGAGGCAGCAGUGGGGAAUUUUGGACAAUGGGGGCAACCCUGAUCCAGCCAUGCCGCGUGAGUGAAGAAGGCCUUCGGGUUGUAAAGCUCUUUCGGCCGGGAAGAAAUCGCAUGGGCCAAUACCCUGUGUGGAUGACGGUACCGGAAUAAGAAGCACCGGCUAACUACGUGCCAGCAGCCGCGGUAAUACGUAGGGUGCGAGCGUUAAUCGGAAUUACUGGGCGUAAAGCGUGCGCAGGCGGUUUUGUAAGACAGGCGUGAAAUCCCCGGGCUUAACCUGGGAACUGCGUUUGUGACUGCAAGGCUAGAGUACGGCAGAGGGGGGUGGAAUACCACGUGUAGCAGUGAAAUGCGUAGAGAUGUGGAGGAACACCAAUGGCGAAGGCAGCCCCCUGGGUCGAUACUGACGCUCAUGCACGAAAGCGUGGGUAGCAAACAGGAUUAGAUACCCUGGUAGUCCACGCCCUAAACUAUGUCAACUAGGUGUUGGGUGGGUAAAACCAUUUAGUACCGUAGCUAACGCGUGAAGUUGACCGCCUGGGGAGUACGGCCGCAAGGUUAAAACUCAAAGGAAUUGACGGGGACCCGCACAAGCGGUGGAUGAUGUGGAUUAAUUCGAUGCAACGCGAAAAACCUUACCUACCCUUGACAUGCCAGGAACUUGCCAGAGAUGGCUUGGUGCCCGAAAGGGAGCCUGGACACAGGUGCUGCAUGGCUGUCGUCAGCUCGUGUCGUGAGAUGUUGGGUUAAGUCCCGCAACGAGCGCAACCCUUGUCGUUAAUUGCCAUCAUUUAGUUGGGCACUUUAACGAGACUGCCGGUGACAAACCGGAGGAAGGUGGGGAUGACGUCAAGUCCUCAUGGCCCUUAUGGGUAGGGCUUCACACGUCAUACAAUGGUCGGUACAAAGGGUUGCCAAGCCGCGUGGCGGAGCCAAUCCCAGAAAGCCGAUCGCAGUCCGGAUUGCAGGCUGCAACUCGCCUGCAUGAAGUCGGAAUCGCUAGUAAUCGUGGAUCAGCAUGUCACGGUGAAUACGUUCCCGGGUCUUGUACACACCGCCCGUCACACCAUGGGAGCGGGUUCCGCCAGAAGUAGGUAGCCUAACCGCAAGGGGGGCGCUUACCACGGCGGGGUUCGUGACUGGGGUGAAGUCGUAACAAGGUAGCCGUAGGAACCUGCGGCUG
rnacentral:rRNA from 1 species